GUGCCAGCCGCCGCGGUACUACCGGCAGCUCGAGUGAUGUCCAAUAUUAUUGGGCCUAAAGCGUCCGUAGCUGGCCGCGCAAGUCCGUCGGGAAAUCCACCUGCCCAACAGGUGGGCGUCCGGCGGAAACUGUGUGGCUUGGAACCGGAAGGAUCAGAGGGUACGUCCGGGGUAGGAGUGAAAUCCCGUAAUCCUGGACGGACCGCCGGUGGCGAAAGCGCCUCGGGAAGACGGACCCGACAGUGAGGGACGAAAGCGGGGAUCUCGAACCGGAUUAGAUACCCGAGAGUCC
rnacentral:rRNA from 1 species